rnacentral:tRNA from 1 species
AGUGGGGUAGCGCAGACGGUAGCGCGCCAGGCUCAUAACCUGGAGGUCGCCGGUUCGAGUCCGGCCCCCGCAACCA